UACGGGGGGGGGUAAGCGUUGUUCGGAAUUACUGGGCGUAAAGGGCUCGUAGGCGGCCAACUAAGUCAGACGUGAAAUCCCUCGGCUUAACCGGGGAACUGCGUCUGAUACUGGAUGGCUGGAGUUUGGGAGAGGGAUGCGGAAUUCCAGGUGUAGCGGUGAAAUGCGUAGAUAUCUGGAGGAACACCGGUGGCGAAGGCGGCAUCCUGGACCAACACUGACGCUGAAGAGCGAAAGCCAGGGGAGCAAACGGG
rnacentral:rRNA from 1 species